rnacentral:rRNA from 1 species
GAUGAACGCUGGCGGCGUGCCUAAUACAUGCCAGUCGAGCGAACAGACGAGGAGCUUGCUCCUCUGACGUUAGCGGCGGACGGGUGAGUAACACGUGGAUAACCUACCUAUAAGACUGGGAUAACUUCGGGAAACCGGCGCUAAUACCGGAUAAUAUAUUGAACCGCAUGGUUCAAUAGUGAAAGACGGUUUUGCUGUCACUUAUAGAUGGAUCCGCGCCGCAUUAGCUAGUUGGUAAGGUAACGGCUUACCAAGGCAACGAUGCGUAGCCGACCUGAGAGGGUGAUCGGCCACACUGGAACUGAGACACGGUCCAGACUCCUACGGGAGGCAGCAGUAGGGAAUCUUCCGAAAUGGGCGAAAGCCUGACGGAGCAACGCGGCGUGAGUGAUGAAGGUCUUCGGAUCGUAAAACUCUGUUAUUAGGGAAGAACAAAUGUGUAAGUAACUAUGCACGUCUUGACGGUACCUAAUCAGAAAGCCACGGCUAACUACGUG